rnacentral:rRNA from 1 species
UACGAAGGGGGCUAGCGUUGUCCGGAAUUAUUGGGCGUAAAGAGCUCGUAGGUGGCUUGUCACGUCGGGUGUGAAAGCUUGGGGCUUAACUCCAGGUCUGCAUUCGAUACGGGCUGGCUAGAGGUAGGUAGGGGAGAACGGAAUUCCUGGUGUAGCGGUGAAAUGCGCAGAUAUCAGGAGGAACACCGGUGGCGAAGGCGGGUCUCUGGGCAACAACUGACGCUGAGGAGCGAAAGCGUGGGGAGCGAACAGG